CAACGUUCUUCAAAAGGAGGUUAGAUUUAUAACCUUUUGCGGGAAAUCGUCUACCAAUCUAACACGAAAAUAAACAGUUUUCAGAUGAAAAGUUGAUGUACUGGAGACAGAUUGGUCAGCCAGUGAAAGAUGUUCUGUUGGUAUUGAGAAUAAAUGGAAUUCUAGCCAGACACAGGACAUCUACUUACCUGUCCAUGUGGAAGUGAGUGUAGUUGUUAUAGUUUCUGUUGAGCAGCAGAAUUAAUAAUUGAACUUAAAUCAGAUCCUGGAAAUCUACUGACAAGAUCCAGUGUCUAGGUGACAUUGACUGGUUGGAAUAGUAGUCUAGUGAGUAGUGGUAACAGAACUAAAUCAAGACACUAGACAUGUACGGACCUCCAUCAUGUCUUGGUGGAAGUGACUGCGGCUGGAAUAGUUGUCAAGUGAGCAGCAGGAAUUGAACUCAAGUCAGCAACUGGACCUGUACUUACCUCCAACUUGUUGAGGUGGAAGUGACUGCGGCUGGGAUAGUUGUCAAGUCAAGAAUUACCAGCCAAGUCUUGGCAGUGUCCACACAUGCAAGCCACAUGAUUUCUUAUACAACAAGAACUGCAACUCCAUAUCUUCAAGAACAUUUUCAUACUGGAAAAGGGCUACGGGCAAAGGGCAUUAACUCCAUAAAACAAUGCUUCUAUUGCACAGAACUCUUCCUUAAAACUAGUUGAACCAUGUAUGAAGUUUGAAGUUGGUAACUUGACUUAUUUAUGCCUAGCGUCUACAAAAAAGGACUUGGCA